GCGGCCCAGCUCCUGUCCCUUCUCCAGAUUGCCUGCAGCACUUUAAUUCUUUCUUUGGGGAACCAGGAAGGGCUCCACUGUUUUUCUGGUUUCCAGGGUGUGCUCCACGUGUUAACCAGGGCUGGUGGGAAUGAAACCACUUUGCAGCGUUCUGGCAGCAAACACAGCUGCCUGACCUUGUGGGGACUGAGAGAAUGGUGGAUCCAAGAAACCAACCACAAAGCAAAAUCUGGGGAGGCUUCCCUGGGGUUCCAGCCAGAAGAGGAGACAGUCCUCACAUCACCACUCAGAUUCCCCCAGAUGGUGGUCCUUCGCCCUGUCCCCCCACCCCUGCCCCCGAUGACUGAGAUCCAUGAAGCUGGGACAAGGUAGAGAGACUUCCCUACAUGUCUUCAGGCAUCUGUCACUUCUGGGGACCAUCAGACUUGGCGGGAGAGACACAGUCCUUGACACGGGAGUCUGAAGACUCAGGGAACACGCGUUCACUGCUGUUGUUCUGAAAACCAGGUGGGCUUCUUUGCGCCUCGCCCCCCUAAGUUGCUGGCUGGAGGGGAUUCAGGGGUCCAGAAUGUAUGCCUAGCCCCACAGCCACACGUCCCUGGCUCCAGGGAGCAGCUGCCUCACAGAAUCGAGGGACAUUCUGCCUUGGGGGGAUCCUUGACUCUUCCUGGGUGUCUAUAACUACCAUCGUCUCACAAUUGUAAUUUCUGCUCCCACCUUAUAGAUUUCAACAGCCAAGCCUUUACCCAAGCCCCUGGGACCACCUGCGUGAAACUCCAUCGAAGCACAAACGUGCAGGAAGGCAUAGAUUUGAGGUUCUAAUUCAUGUUUUUUCGAAUAAAUGUAAAAAACAUAAGACUGAAAUUAAAAAU
ensembl:lncRNA